rnacentral:lncRNA from 1 species
CCCGGCCUUAACGCGCUCUAAGCUAUGCAUAUUUGGGCAUAGUUUGGGAAAGCCUCAGAACAAAAAAAAAAUACCAUUCCAAAGUGAGAAAGGUAAAUAUAUGGAAAUAUUUUGCUUGGAAUUCACGACUUUUUAUUCGGGACCCACGAUUUUUUACCCACGACCCACGCCUUUUUACCCACGACCCACGCCUUUUUACCCACGACUUUUUACCCACGACCCACGCCUUUUUACCCACGACCCACGCCUUUUUACCCACGACCCACGCCUUUUUACCCACGACCCACGCCUUUUUACCCACGACUUACGACUUUUUACCCACGACCCACGACUUUUUACCCACGACCCACGACAUUCUACCCACGACCCACGACAUUCUACCCACGACCCACGACCCACGACUGUUAGCUAGUCCCGAAAAAUACAGGCAUUCUGGCGAGUAAUAUCUUUAGAAAGAUACAAUUUGAGUUGCGCUUGCGAAAUGCAGCAAUAAGACUCAACC